AGAGCGAACGCUGGCGGCAGGCCUAACACAUGCAAGUCGAGCGCCCGUAGCAAUACGGGAGCGGCAGACGGGAUAGUAACACGUGGGAACGCGCCCUUCGGUUCGGAAUAACUCAGGGAAACUUGAGCUAAUACCGAAUACGCCCUUACGGGGAAAGAUUUAUUGCCGAAGGAACGGCCCGCGUCCGAUUAGCUAGUUGGUGAGGUAAUGGCUCACCAAGGCUACGAUCGGUAGCUGGUCUGAGGGGAUGACCAGCAUCACUGGGACUGAGACACGGCCCAGACUCCUACGGGAGGCAGCAGUGGGGAAUAUGGACAAUGGGCGCAAGCCUGAUCCAGCCAUGCCGCGUGGAUGAUGAAGGCCUUAGGGUUGUAAAGUCCUUUUAACGGGAAGAUAAUGACGGUACCCGUAGAAUAACGCCCCGGCUAACUUCGUGCCAGCAGCCGC
rnacentral:rRNA from 1 species